rnacentral:rRNA from 1 species
UACGGAAGGGGCAAGCGUUGUUCGGAAUCAUUGGGCGUAAAGGGCGCGUAGGCGGUCUGUUAAGUGUAGAGUGAAAUCUCCAGGGCUCAACCCGGAAACUGCUCUGCAUACUGGCAGACUGGAGUGAUGCAGAGGUUUGUGGAAUUCCUGGUGUAACGGUGAAAUGUGUUGAUAUCGGGAGGAACACCCAUGGCGAAGGCAGCAAACUGGGCAUUAACUGACGCUGAGGCGCGAAAGCGUGGGUAGCAAACAGG